rnacentral:rRNA from 1 species
GUGGGGAAUCUUAGACAAUGGGGGAAACCCUGAUCUAGCCAUGCCGCGUGAGCGAUGAAGGCCUUCGGGUUGUAAACCGCUUUUGUCAGGGAAGAAAUCCUUUGGGUUAAUACCUCGGAGGGAUGACGGUACCUGAAGAAUAAGCACCGGCUAACUACGUGCCAGCAGCCGCGGUAAUACGUAGGGUGCGAGCGUUAAUCGGAAUUACUGGGCGUAAAGCGUGCGCAGGCGGUUUUGUAAGAUCGAUGUGAAAUCCCCGGGCUCAACCUGGGAACUGCAUUGGUGACUGCAAGGCUGGAGUGCGGCAGAGGGGGAUGGAAUUCCGCGUGUAGCAGUGAAAUGCGUAGAUAUGCGGAGGAACACCGAUGGCGAAGGCAAUCCCCUGGGCCUGCACUGACGCUCAUGCACGAAAGCGUGGGGAGCAAACAGGAUUAGAAACCCUGGUAGUCC